rnacentral:misc_RNA from 1 species
UACGAACUGUGCGAACGUUAUUCGGAAUCACUGGGCUUAAAGGGUGCGUAGGCGGCUGCUUAAGUCAGGUGUGAAAUCCCCCGGCUCAACCGGGGAAUUGCGCUUGAGACUGGACAGCUUGAGUCAGGCAGGGGUGUGCGGAACUUCCAGUGGAGCGGUGAAAUGUGUUGAGAUUGGAAGGAACGCCGGCGGCGAAAGCGGCACACUGGGCCUUUUCUGACGCUGAGGCACGAAAGCCAGGGGAGCGAACGGG